rnacentral:rRNA from 1 species
AUUGAACGCUGGCGGCAGGCCUAACACAUGCAAGUCGAACGAGUGGCGGACGGGUGAGUAAUGUCUGGGAAACUGCCUGACGGACGGGGAUAACUACUGGAAACGGUAGCUAAUACCGCAUACCACCAGUUGUGCCCUGAUGGGAUUAGCUUGUUGGUGGGGUAACGGCUCACCAAGGCGACGAUCCCUAGCUGGUCUGAGAGGAUGACCGGCCACACUGGAACUGAGACACGGUCCAGACGCCUACGGGAGGCAGCAGUGGGGAAUAUUGCACAAUGGGCGCAAGCCUGAUGCAGCCAUGCCGCGUGUAUGAAGAAGGCCUUCGGGUUGUAAAGUACUUUCGGCGGAGAGGCGUUACCCGCAGAGGAAGCACCGGCUAACUCCGUGCCAGCAGCCGCGGUAAUUC